GAUCUGUCAAACUGCGCUGCCCCUCUUAGAUAUUUAACUAUAACAUUAACCGGGUUGGUCUGCAGGUGCAACACUAGCCUGUGGAACUGGAGCUUGUGCUGCAGUUGUUGCUGCCGUGCUCGAGGGUCGAGCUGGGAGGAGUUGUACUGUCGAUUUGCCUGGAGGACCAUUGGACAUUGAAUGGAGAGAAGAAGACAACCACAUUUACAUGACAGGUCCAGCAGAAGUAGUAUUUUAUGGAUCAAUUCCUCUCUAAAUCCUUUUAUUUUAGACUUGUUUGGGCCAUCUUGACUUCUAGAAAACUCGGAAGAAGCUCCCAUUAGUUCUUCUAGUGUUGUAUGUCUAAGUUUUGCGACGGCAAGGGAUGGGUGGGGAAUUCUAUUUAUCCAGUAUGGUUGUGCCGCAUUUUUCUUUCACUCCUGAUGGGAAACACUGUUGCAAUUGCGCACUCUUUAGCUCUAGGAUUCGUGUUGAAGGGUGUCAUUUGACAUAGCUCAUUUCCAUUUUCCAUGAUGAUGAUGUCUAAUAUUUUUAUUGGGGUCCAAGGAGAUUAGUCUUUCUUUUUCAAUACCAACUUCUUGUAAUAAAUUUUUGAAUCCAUCUUAUGAUUCAUAUUUCAGAUUCAAUCUGAUAAUA